rnacentral:rRNA from 1 species
AUUGAACGCUGGCGGCAUGCUUUACACAUGCAAGUCGAACGGCAGCGCGGGCUUCGGCCUGGCGGCGAGUGGCGAACGGGUGAGUAAUGCAUCGGAACGUGCCCAGUAGUGGGGGAUAGCCCGGCGAAAGCCGGAUUAAUACCGCAUACGACCUGAGGGUGAAAGCGGGGGACCGAAAGGCCUCGCGCUAUUGGAGCGGCCGAUGUCGGAUUAGCUAGUUGGUGGGGUAAAGGCUUACCAAGGCGACGAUCCGUAGCUGGUCUGAGAGGACGACCAGCCACACUGGGACUGAGACACGGCCCAGACUCCUGCGGGAGGCAGCAGUGGGGAAUUUUGGACAAUGGGGGCAACCCUGAUCCAGCCAUGCCGCGUGCGGGAAGAAGGUCUUCGGGUUGUAAACCGCUUUUGUUCGGGAAGAAAUCCUCUGGGCUAAUACCCCGGGGGGAUGACGGUACCGGAAGAAUAAGCACCGGCUAACUACGUG